GACGAACCACACAAACGUUGUUCGGAAUUACUGGGCGUAAAGGGCUCGUAGGUGGCCAACUAAGUCAGACGUGAAAUCCCUCAGCUUAACUGGGGAACUGCGUCUGAUACUGGAUGGCUUGAGUUUGGGAGAGGGAUGCGGAAUUCCAGGUGUAGCGGUGAAAUGCGUAGAUAUCUGGAGGAACACCGGUGGCGAAGGCGGCAUCCUGGACCAACACUGACACUGAGGAGCGAAAGCCAGGGGAGCAAACGGG
rnacentral:rRNA from 1 species